UCAACAACAGAGGACACCUCAACAACAUCACAGUUUAAAGUCUCAACAUGUUUCUUUUCCUCUUUCCUCAACACACAGAUGUAUUUAUUUCCUUCCACAGUCAUCCCUUUUCCAGAAAACAGAAAGCUGCAGCUGAAACAUGUUUUCCUGUCUUCAUUGUCUUCCAGGUUGGUGGAGGUUCAUCAUUGUAACUGUGGGUGUAGCAGCACUCUCAACAGCUGUUGUGGCCGUCAACAUAUGGACAAGAACUAAAGGGAAAACAACACAGAUGGAUGGAAACACUGUUUGUGAUGAUGAAGAUGAUGAAGUUUGAGCCUUCCACCUCUGAUCAACAACUUCAACAUCAUCUACCAUACAUUUCUCAACAGCCUCCAUUCCUCCUCCAUUUUCUCACUUCUUUCCAUCACUUCAUCUUCCUCAUCUCUCUACUCACGCGUAUCCAUCUCCUUCAUCAUGUAAUGAUCUGAGUCAUGUGCUUCAUUUGUUUUAUUUUGGUAAUCUGUUUGCUUCUCACUGAUUGGUUCCACCAGUGCCUUGUAUCUCCUUUAAUUAUCUGUGUAUAUACUGUAUAGUACUGUUAAUUCAUAUUUCCUUCCUUCCUUCAUUCUUUUUGACAAUAAAUUUAGAAUAAGUUCUGGAUAAUGUGUUGUAUGCUCUCUUUGUUCUUUGGGUUUUGCUUGAUCCGUCCUGAUUUUCUUUGCACAGCUUUUUGUCCAAUGAUUAAGUUUCAGUAAAUUGACUUUUACUAAUUCAAACUUCAUCACUUGCAUGAAAUGGUCACGUUAGUCAUCUCAGUAUUAGUACAACAGCUCCACAAUUCAUAUAUUUGUGAACUUUACCAGCUCUUUCUACCAUUUCAUUGCUUGUUGGUCCUCCCCUGAUUUUUUACAUUUUCUUGUAAAUUGUAUUUUACAUUUUAUAGUUUUGUUUUUUGCUACUUUUCUGUCUGCCUAAUAUGUCAAUAUUCAUAAAGUACAAGUGACAUUUACCAGUCUA